UGAACGCUGGCGGCGUGCCUAAUACAUGCAAGUCGAGCGAACGGACGAGAAGCUUGCUUCUCUGAUGUUAGCGGCGGACGGGUGAGUAACACGUGGAUAACCUACCUAUAAGACUGGGAUAACUUCGGGAAACCGGAGCUAAUACCGGAUGAUAUUUUGAACCGCAUGGUUCAAAAGUGAAAGACGGGCUUGCUGUCACUUAUAGAUGGAUCCGCGCUGCAUUAGCUAGUUGGUAAGGUAACGGCUUACCAAGGCAACGAUGCAUAGCCGACCUGAGAGGGUGAUCGGCCACACUGGAACUGAGACACGGUCCAGACUCCUACGGGAGGCAGCAGUAGGGAAUCUUCCGCAAUGGGCGAAAGCCUGACGGAGCAACGCCGCGUGAGUGAUGAAGGUCUUCGGAUCGUAAAACUCUGUUAUUAGGGAAGAACAUAUGUGUAAGUAACUGUGCACAUCUUGACGGUACCUAAUCAGAAAGCCACGGCUAACUACGUG
rnacentral:rRNA from 1 species